AUUGAACGCUGGCGGAAUGCUUUACACAUGCAAGUCGAGCGGCAGCGCGGCCUUCGGGCUGGCGGCGAGCGGCGAACGGGUGAGUAAUGCAUCGGAACAUGCCCAGUCGUGGGGGAUAACACUUCGAAAGAAGUGCUAAUACCGCAUACGUCCUGAGGGGGAAAGCGGGGGAUCGCAAGAUCUCGCGCGAUUGGAGUGGCCGAUGUCAGAUUAGCUAGUUGGUGGGGUAAAGGCCUACCAAGGCGACGAUCUGUAGCUGGUCUGAGAGGAUGAUCAGCCACACUGGGACUGAGACACGGCCCAGACUCCUACGGGAGGCAGCAGUGGGGAAUUUUGGACAAUGGGGGCAACCCUGAUCCAGCCAUUCCGCGUGAGUGAAGAAGGCCUUCGGGUUGUAAAGCUCUUUCGGCAGGAACGAAACGGUAGGCUCUAACAUAGUCCGCUAAUGACGGUACCUGAAGAAGAAGCACCGGCUAACUACGUG
rnacentral:rRNA from 1 species